rnacentral:rRNA from 1 species
AACGAACGCUGGCGGCAUGCCUAACACAUGCAAGUCGAACGAGAGCUUCGGGUCUAGUGGCGCACGGGUGCGUAACGCGAGGGAACCUGCCCUUAGGUUCGGAAUAACUCCCCGAAAGGGGUGCUAAUAGCGGAUAAUGUCUUCGGACCAAAGAUUUAUCGCCUUUGGAUGGGCACGCGUGGCAUAAGCUAGUGGGUAGGGUAAAAGCCGCCCAAGGGGACGAUCCAUAGCUGGGCUGAGAGGAGGAUCAGCCACACUUGGACUGAGACACGGCCCGGACUCCUACGGGAGGCAGCAGUGCGUAAUAUUGCACCAUGGGCUAAAGCCUGAUCCACCUCUGCCGCGUGAGUGAUGUAGGCCUUAGGGUUGUAAAGCUCUUUUAACCGGGAUGAUAAUGACAGUACCGGGAGAAUAAGCCCCGGCUAACUCCGUG